rnacentral:lncRNA from 1 species
CUUCAGCGCUGUGGAACGAGCCGAUCUCCGGGGCUGCUUGCCCGGCUUCAGCGCUGUGGAAUGAGCCGAUCUCAGUAAAAAAAAAUAAUUAUGGUUAUGAAAAUGGUUAUUUGCCUAGUGUUCUUUUGUGUCAUAGUUUCAUUAUUGACCCAAUCAAGUUGGAUAAUCUACAGGUGAUACAUUUAGAAUCAUAAAACUUAUUUUGCUUUAAUUUAAUCUCCUUCUGCUAUUACCAAACACAAUUCUGGCUAUGUUCACAUAAACAUAAUACCAUCUCUUGCAGUGUUACAAAAAGCAAAUCAAUAAUUUUGAGUAUAUGUUUGUAUAAAUGCUCUCAACUUACCCCCAGAUUUGACAUAUUACAGUAACUGCUUAGUUAAAUGAAUAGGGUAAACAUGCAGUAAAGAACAUUGGUAUUUAAAUUGUGUGAAACUGACACCAAUAAAUCCUUAAUUUCUGUUAUUUACUUACUUAGAAGUAUUUUGUUUCUCAGUAGCAUAGUCGCUGUGAAGUGUGGAUAAUAGUUUUGCGAUAUAUAUUGAUUAUCACCGAAUGGCAGUUUUGAGAUAUCACUGUUAUCAUUCAUUUACCACAUCUAAAAUGUGCUGAAAAAAAAUGAAAAUGGGCCUUGAAAGUGCUUCAAAAAAGCUUGAAUUUUACAAGGUGUAUGAACCCUGAAUAUUGCAUUUUGCUAUACAAAAGAAUCCAUUUGAUCAGGGCCCCUGAUGAAAGUUCAGAAGUGUAGGAGUUGUUUAGGUGAGUUCAGAAAGCUCCGGGCUUUGGGACCAGGGGGAGGUCUCCUCCAACAGGUAGUCGGCUCUGAGCGCACACUCACUCUCAGUCAGUCAGUGAGUGGGUGGGUGGGUGAGGAGCGCCGUGCCCCCCGAGCCUCAGCGAGGUGUCCGCGGGAAUGAGCCAUGGACUCGGGCAUCAGCUCAGCUCCUCUCGCGCCGUCUCCAGCCUGACUGUCCGCUCGCGCUCCAGCAUGUCCGGCCCGGAUGCUUCUUCCUCCUCCUCAGGCAGAAACCUCGCGCUCUUACUGGGAAUAACGUGUCUGACCAUCUUCACCAAGACUUCAGCUUCAGAGUUCUCAGGUUAUCUAUCACGUGUGUUGAGGAAUUACACGGAAGAAGCGUGUGACGGAGACCUACUGACUGUACGGUGCCCACCCAGGACCACCAUCACUGUCCAAACAGCUUUCUACGGCAGAAGAAACUCCGCCCACUCGCUGCAGUGCCCACCUACUUACGGUAUCAGUGGGCCACGGCCACUGAGUGAUGACACUUCCUGUCAUGUGUCAACAGCACUGCAGGUAAAAGAAACACACAAACACAUGUGUACACACACACACACUGCAUACUUAUACACAGACAGAUAGACAGUUAGAAACUCUGCAACGUUCUUGAAUAUAUUCACAUAGACUAACAGACAAACAUUAAUAACUACAAAACAUACACAAUUUCACAUAUAGAUGUGUGUAUGUGUGUGUCCCUGAU